AUUGAACGCUGGCGGCAUGCCUAACACAUGCAAGUCGAACGAGUGGCGGACGGGUGAGUAAUGUCUGGGAACCUGCCUAAUAGCGGGGGAUAACUACUGGAAAGGGUGGCUAAUACCGCAUACCAUCGGAUGUGCCCAUAUGGGAUUAGCUUGUUGGUGGGGUAACGGCUCACCAAGGCGACGAUCCGUAGCUGGUUUGAGAGGAUGACCAGCCACACUGGAACUGAGACACGGCCCAGACUCCUACGGGAGGCAGCAGUGGGGAAUAUUGCACAAUGGGGGCAAGCCUGAUGCAGCCAUGCCGCGUGUAUGAAGAAGGCCUUCGGGUUGUAAAGUACUUUCAGCGGGGAGGCGGUAUCUGCAGAAGAAGCACCGGCUAACUACGUGCCAGCCGCCGCGGUAAUAC
rnacentral:rRNA from 1 species